rnacentral:rRNA from 1 species
AUGGGAACGCGAAGAACCUUACCUAGACUUGACAUCUCCUGAAUAGUGUAGAGAUACAUGAAGCCCUUCGGGGCAGGAAGACAGGUGGUGCAUGGUUGUCGUCAGCUCGUGUCGUGAGAUGUUGGGUUAAGUCCCGCAACGAGCGCAACCCUUAUUACUAGUUGCUACCAUUAAGUUGAGCACUCUAGUGAGACUGCCCGGGUUAACCGGGAGGAAGGCGGGGAUGACGUCAAAUCAUCAUGCCCCUUAUGUCUAGGGCAACACACGUGCUACAAUGGUGAGUACAGAUAGAUGCGAUACCGCAAGGUGGAGCCAAACUCUAAAACUCAUCCCAGUUCGGAUUGUAGGCUGAAACUCGCCUACAUGAAGCCGGAGUUGCUAGUAAUCGCGAAUCAGAAUGUCGCGGUGAAUA